rnacentral:rRNA from 1 species
AGAGUUUGAUCCUGGCUCAGGAUGAACGCUGGCGGUAUGCUUAACACAUGCAAGUCGAACGGAACCUUUCGGGGUCUAGUGGCGGACGGGUGAGUAACGCGUGAGAACAUGCCCUUAGGUUCGGGACAACAGUUGGAAACGGCUGCUAAUACCGAAUGUGCCGAGAGGUGAAAGAUUAAUUGCCUAGGGAUUGGCUCGCGUCAGAUUAGCUAGUUGGUGGAGUAAUGGUUUACCAAGGCGACGAUCUGUAGCUGGUCUGAGAGGAUGACCAGUCACACUGGGACUGAGACACGGCCCAGACUCCUACGGGAGGCAGCAGUGGGGAAUUUUCCGCAAUGGGCGAAAGCCUGACGGAGCAAUACCGCGUGAGGGAGGACGGCUUUUGGGUUGUAAACCUCUUUUAUCAGGGAAGAAGAUCUGACGGUACCUGAUGAAUCAGCAUCGGCUAACUCCGUGCCAGCAGCCGCGGUAAUACGGAGGAUGCAAGCGUUAUCCGGAAUUAUUGGGCGUAAAGCGUCCGUAGGUGGCUAAUCAAGUCUGCUGUCAAAGCGUGGAGCCCAACUCCAUACCGGCGGUGGAAACUGAUGAGCUAGAGUGCGAUAGGGGUAGCAGGAAUUCCCAGUGUAGCGGUGAAAUGCGUAGAGAUUGGGAAGAACACCAGCGGCGAAAGCGUGCUACUGGGUCUGCACUGACACUGAGGGACGAAAGCUAGGGGAGCGAAAGGGAUUAGAUACCCCUGUAGUCCUAGCCGUAAACGAUGGAUACUAGUGUGGUUCGUAUCGACCCGAGCCGUGCCGGAGCUAACGCGUUAAGUAU